GAAAUGCGAUAAGUAAUGUGAAUUGCAGAAUUCAGUGAAUCAUCGAAUCUUUGAACGCACAUUGUGCCCGCCAGUAUUCUGGCGGGCAUGCCUGUUCGAGCGUCAUUUCAACCAUCAAGCCCCCGGCUUGUGUUGGGGACCUGCGGCUGCCCGCAGGCCCUGAAAAACAGUGGCGGGCUCGCUGUCACACCGAGCGUAGUAGCAUACAUUCUCGCUCAGGGCGUGCUGCGGGUUCCGGCCGUUAAACGACCUUCAUAACCCAAGGUUGACCUCGGAUCAGGUAGGAAGACCCGCUGAACUUAAGC
rnacentral:misc_RNA from 1 species